CCUCCCGAAGACCGAGGGGGUUCUCCCCACUGGUGGGGUCGGGCCUGCUGGGACACGCAGGGCAGCUGCCCUCGGCCAUAAGACCAACAGGCAGGGGCAUCUGGGGGUUAGGAUGGUCCAGGUCAGUCCGGUGGGAUCUGGGCGAGUCCCAGAAUCCCUCCCGGCCUCGGUUUCCUGCUCUGCACAGGGGGCCAAUUGAUCAGACCUACCUUGGACGGUGCCAGCAAGGGCCAAGUGACAAGGACCAAGUGAUGGCUGCACGGGCAGAACAGGGCACCCGCACCAGACAGCUUCUGGAGAGUCCACUGGGGGAAGCCCUGCUGAGACCCGGGUCCGCUGUGGUCACAGCUGCGACCGACGCAGGAAGCACACGGCAGGGGCACCUGGGCGCAGCUAGGCAGCAGCGUGGGUCAUCAGGACGGUGGGAGCCAGGCCUACAGGUGGCAGCUGUAGGGGGCACAGGCCCUCCCUGAACAUCACUGUUGUGCUGUCUCUGGCCUCUGGGCGCCGGCCACACCUGCUGCCGGGCGGACACCUGCUGCUGUGGUCCUCGCGCUGACCGCAGCCCUACGUCAUAGAGGCCACCAGUUCAUGUGGCGGAACCGGUGGCGCACGUCUGCUCUCACGCCUGUAAGGACCCGCAUUUCUCACCUUCCUGGGAUGCUGCGCAGGGGGAAGCAGUAACAGCUCAUCCUCUAGCUGACCGCCACCUUGCAGGCACCCAGAGCAGGUCCUGGGAGACCAGACACCGUGCUGAAAUUAGCUGCGCUAACUGGGCUGCUGGUGAGACCAACGGGCUGGUUGCUGGCCUAGAAACGGCUGCCGCAGGCCCCACUGCCAGGCUCCUGCCACACGGGCGGGCGGGCGGGCAGUGUGGGCUGGGCCUCUGGGGGACGCGGCAGGCAUAGUGAGACUGCGGCAGGAAGUCAAAGACUGGUGCGUGCCCUGAUCCCUUCUGGGUGGGACCCUGAAGAGGGCCCAGGGAGGAGGGAGAGGAAACACCCCCACCAGACAGGGACCCGCCGUCUAGUGUCGUCCCCGAUACCACUGUGACCUGUGGGUUCUCUACUGGUAGAGGCCAGAGCUGGGGCUGGUCUCCAUCACUGGGCCACUGAUGCACAGGCAUGUUGGCAACUCUGGGCCAUGGGCACACUCGGGUCCUGAGACCAGGCUCCUCAGAGAGCAAGACACGGCUCUGGGCAGAUGGCCGGCCUGCACGUGGGCACCAUGAGGCCCGAGGCGAGGCCGCCGAGUGCCAGUGUGUGGCUCUGCCUCAGAUUUCUGGGGGGUCAGACCCCCCACAACCCUCCCAAGGCCACAGACACGUCCUAAGGGGGUGAGACCACAGGACAAGCGGUCAACGCUGCAGGGCCUGGGCUGGCGGGGGGAAGGCCUGUCAACGUUCUGUCCCAGGGGAGGGCAUGGGACCAUGGGCUUACAACAGGCACGGUGACGGUGGCCCUGGCAGCCCCACGGGGACAUGCCGACUUGUUUCCUGCCCCGGGGAUGACUGGCAGUGGUAAAUACCAGGACUGGAAAGCCAGCACAGAGCCUCUGAUUUUACCCUGUUAAGCAGAGCUCACGGAACACCGGCCUGUACGUAACCUCUGCAAGCUCGGAAGCCACAGUCGUAAAUAACUUCGGCUCGCUCAGACUGUUCUGCGCAAACCUGUAAGACACGGUUCCGGGGAAGCCACGGGCAGGAGGGUGGAUGUCAUCUGCAACACCUCUUGAGUCCGUCUCAGGGAAGCGGCUCAUUCUAGCAGCUCUGUGGCCAGGGAACCAAUGCCAGGCCCUCGUCUGCAGCUGACCCAAGUCCUCGAGGUGUCUUUCAGGGCAAAGCGAGAGACUAGUAAAGCAGCUUCUUUUUCUUUUUUUUAAA